rnacentral:rRNA from 1 species
UCAGGAUAAACGCUGGCGGCGUGCUUAACACAUGCAAGUCGAACGGAGUGGUUCUCCCGAGGAAUGAGGGUGCUUGCACCUGAAUGACUCAUUGAAUCACUUAGUGGCGGACGGGUGAGUAACGCGUGGGAAACCUGCCCUAUACUGGGGGAUAGCAGUUGGAAACGACUGAUAAUACCGCAUAAGCGCACAGCUUCGCAUGAAGCAGUGUGAAAAACUCCGGCGGUAUAGGAUGGUCCCGCGUCUGAUUAGCUAGUUGGUGAGGUAACGGCCCACCAAGGCAACGAUCAGUAGCCGGCCUGAGAGGGUGUACGGCCACAUUGGGACUGAGACACGGCCCAAACUCCUACGGGAGGCAGCAGUGGGGAAUUUUGCGCAAUGGGGGAAACCCUGACGCCAGCAACGCCGCGUGACCGAUGAAGCCCUUCGGGGUGUAAAGGUCUGUCAGUGGGGACGAAACUUGACGGUACCCACAGAGGAAGCAUCGGCUAACUCCGUGCCAGCCGCUGC